rfam:Jatropha curcas cultivar GZQX0401 scaffold211_10, whole genome shotgun sequence.
GGACAAUGAUGAGAGUUUUGUUCGCUCGUCGUGCGUAAUGGCAAAUUUGCCUUGCCGACCCUUCUUUUUUCUUCUGAGUCC